AUCUGUGCAUUGGAUCUCAUUUACCAUUUUCCUGUCUCAAGGUGGUGGUGCGGAUUAAGUUCAGGAUUUUUCUAGCUGAGUGUGCGGAGGCCUUUUUCCCCUUGCUGUCCAAGCUUGUUCUUCUUCUCCGAAUCAAGCUUUUUCCCCCUUUCUUCGUUUUCCUUCCCGAAGCUCGGAUCUUCAAACUAAGACGAUGACUAGGACCAACGAGCAGAUAGCCCGUGCCAUAGAGAUGAUGGCUAUGGCUAUGCAACAG